AUCCAGCUGAUGAGUCUCAAAUAGGAUGAAACGUGCGUCCUGGAU
rnacentral:hammerhead_ribozyme from 1 species